CCCUUAGAUGUCCUGGGCCGCACGCGCGCUACUCUGAUGCAUGCAACGAGUUUAUAACCUUGGCCUGAAAGGUCUGGGUAAUCUUUUGAACGUGCAUCGUGAUAGGGAUAGAUUAUUGCAAUUGUUAAUCUUGAACGAGGAAUUCCUAGUAAACGCGAGUCAUCAGCUCGCAUUGAUUACGUCCCUGCCCUUUGUACACACCGCCCGUCGCACCUACCGAUUGAAUGGUUCGGUGAAGAUCUCGGACUUCGAUAUUUAUUCUUUAUUGAGUUUAUAUUGUGGGAAGUUAUCUAAACCUCAUCAUUUAGAGGAAGGUGAAGUCGUAACA
rnacentral:rRNA from 1 species